rnacentral:lncRNA from 1 species
AGCUAUUUUUGAUUCGGAUAUUGACGGCGGCGGAAUGACGAAAAGAAAAGAAGAAGAGGAGGAAGAAGAGAAGAAGAAGAGGGAGACGGGAAGAAAUUGAUGCUCGAUUCCAACAGAAAUUGAGUAAACUAAUCAUCCUAGGGGUACUGUUCCUGCUACAGUUCGAGGUUUGAGUGAUUGAUUUGAGGAGGUUGAAGGUAUAAGGCAAGGACAGUAGUUGCUCUCAAAGUUCCAGAGUUUCAACUU